rnacentral:lncRNA from 1 species
AUGAUGUGUGGCAUUUUUUUUCUUUCAGCUCAAAGAACAAAGCAAAGUAGAAAAGUGUGGUGCUCUCAGCAGGGUAGACAAUGGAGAACUUCAAAGGGGAAGACACUGCCUUGGCUCCCUGAAGUGUGGAUAUGGCCCACUCUCAUUCUGCUGCUUGGACUCACCAAACUCUGGCCUCCUUUAUCUCUGAGUUGAACUUUUAAGGGUUCAGGAACUUAGGGAAGCCCAUCCAUGAGGGAUAUGGACCUCAGGUGAAGAAACUCAAGGACCAAUGAAGUACCCGUUUAAACACAUGGAUGAUCAAUUCCAGAUAGACUGAUCAGAGGAGACUUCAAGGAGGAAUUGGAGGUGCAUCUUGAAAGAUGAGCAGAGGGGAGAAGGGCAGGGCUGGGGUAGGGAGCAUUCUAGACUUGGAGAACCUUGAGUAAAAUACAAAAGGCAGGGCAUUAAAAGCAUAAUUUGGCAAUUGUUAAAUUACGUUGGAGUGAAAGAGAAGUAGCAGGACACAAGGGGGAAAGGGUCGAAAGGUUGGCUUGUGUUGGGUUGCAGAUGACUAGGAAUAAAGGUACAAAGAAAAAUUUUCA